AUGUCCUACGUCUGGCGUAGCAUUCUAAAGGGCGUCAAACUUCUAAAACAGGGUAUAAUAUGGCGAGUGGGGAAUGGAAAUAACAUAGACAUCUGGAAUGAUCCUUGGAUCCCAAGAGGCACCACGAGACGCACCAUGACCCACAAAGGUCGACAUCUUGUGAACAAAGUUCCGGAGCUGAUGGACCCAAUCAAUGGAGGGUGGGAUGUGGCACUGGUACAACAAACCUUCUAUCCAGAAGAUGUAGAAGCCAUCUUAUAGAUUCCAGUAAAUGAAGUGGAGGAAGACUAUGUGGCCUGACACUUUGACAAGAAAGAUGGAGGACAAUGUUUCUUCAAAUGCAAACCAGUCAAGGAGUUGUGGAGAAGCUUUGAAUGGGAAAACAUACGACAAGAGCUAGUAACCUGCCAAAGCCCGAGGCAUGCCCUACAGGAAAUUUUCAAGAUGGAUGACAAGGUAUGCUCUAAAAUCUCCGCCAUGUUAUGGCUUUGGUGGUUUGAAAGAAACAAAGCACACUCAGGUGAAAGGAUAAGAGGUUGUAAUGAAAUCCAAGCUUCCAUUGAAAUCCACCGCAAAGAAUUUGAGGAGGAAUGGAAUAAAAAGGAAAAAAACACCUAAACCCCCUGCUCAGACAAAUGGAAGCCUCCUCCACCUAAUGUCUCUGAUGGUGCAAAUGACAAAGGAGAGGUGUUGGCAGCAGGUGUGGGAUCUAUGCAACAUAUUUCUGAAGCUAUUCAUGCAGAAAGUCUAGCACUCCUCCAGGCGAUCAACCGGGCAAAUGAGUUGGGAUGUAACCGAUUAAUUUUUAAAACUAAUGCUUUUGUACCGAAAUAGGCAGUAACGAGUGAAGCUUACGACAACACAAGGCAUGGAGCACUGCGUAAAAAAAUCAAAACAUUACUGCAUACAUACUUUGAUGAUGCAAGUGUUGAAUGGUGUAAUCGUUCCUGCAGCUCUGUUGCUUAG
rnacentral:rRNA from 1 species